UUGUCCCAGUGUGCUUGUGGAAAUCUGUCCCUUUAAGUCUUGCAGGGCUGAACGGCUCCAGUCUUCCCGUAGCCAUUUUGCAAGUGCUGACUGUUGGGUGCCUGUUCUGGUUAGUCCCUGUCCUGCUUUUCCACAUGCCUCUCCUUCCACCUCUGCAGCUCACAAAAAGCCUCACCAGAGACAUGAACUCUCAUUUGCUUCCUUGGAGUGGGAUCCCAACCAGGGCAUUGUACAGCUAAUGGGACAUCUCUUCAAGUAGUGUCAUUAUUCCUGUCGUCAGCGGGGCUGCAUGACAAUCCACAGAAGACUCUGAGAACAGUCACCUGGUGUCCCCUGAUGUCAAUGGCGGAGGAUUUGUCCGUGACCCACAAACUUUCACUGUCACAAACGGAGUAUUCCCCCCGGUGGCCCCUGUGCUCUGCAUACCUCUUCCGCCGGGAGGUUCUGUUCACCACCACGGAAUUCCCGAUGUAAUCCUCCAUGAGGUACAGGGGCGGCGGCUCCAGCGGCGUGUUGUCACUCAGAAGGACUCGGGGAGAAUUGUAGCGUCUCUGCUGCCUCAAGAGAUCUAAAACUUGUUUUUUAAAAUGUCUGCCUGAAUGAGUUUAAUAAUAAGAGAAUUUAUCGAAUCUUCUGGCAAACUCCUUUGAUCCAUGUUGGAAGACUGGAUGCCACGAAGGUGAAAAUCUUUCUGCAAAAGAGAGGAGCUGACCUGCCUGAGAUGCACAGGAGGCCUGUGGCGUGACAGGGCUGGACUGGAAGAAGUCAAUGCAAGCAGAGGCCAGAGAAGCUUCUAGGUUUGGACCUGCUGGUUCCUGCAGCAGCACACUUCAUUGAGUAGUACCAAAACUGAAUUCUUUUGUGUGUUGUGAUUUGCAGUUAGGUUCUUUGGUUUCCUAAAAAAUCAAAUUGCAGCCAAAACUUCUGCAGCAGUUUGGAUGUUCUUAAAUUGUUAUGCUGUGUGGAUUGCCUUAUACUGAUAGUUCCAGGAUUCUCUCCUGUGGAAACCCAGGGCACCGGGAAUAUUUCUCUGUCUGCUCUGAGGUGCCAUGACCCCCAGGGGAGCACUAACU